rnacentral:rRNA from 1 species
GACGAACGCUGGCGGCGUGCUUAACACAUGCAAGUCGAACGGUAAGGCCCUUCGGGGUACACGAGUGGCGAACGGGUGAGUAACACGUGGGUGAUCUGCCCUGCACUUCGGGAUAAGCCUGGGAAACUGGGUCUAAUACCGGAUAGGACUCCUGGCUUCAUGGUUGGGGGUGGAAAGCUUUUGCGGUGUGGGAUGGGCCCGCGGCCUAUCAGCUUGUUGGUGGGGUAAUGGCCUACCAAGGCGACGACGGGUAGCCGGCCUGAGAGGGUGACCGGUCACACUGGGACUGAGAUACGGCCCAGACUCCUACGGGAGGCAGCAGUGGGGAAUAUUGCACAAUGGGCGCAAGCCUGAUGCAGCGACGCCGCGUGAGGGAUGACGGCCUUCGGGUUGUAAACCUCUUUCACCAGGGACGAAGCGCAAGUGACGGUACCUGGAGAAGAAGCACCGGCCAACUACGUGCCAGCAGCCGCCGUAA